rfam:Macrostomum lignano unitig_48578, whole genome shotgun sequence.
UGACCUCGGAUCAGACGUGAUUACCCGCUGAAUUUAAGCAUAUUAUUAAGCGGAGGAAAAGAAACUAACAAGGAUUCCCCUAGUAACGGCGAGUGAACGGGGAAGAGCCCAACACCGAAUCCCUUGGCGCAAGUCAACGGGAAAUGUGGUGUUAAGGUAGCCCUUCGUGUCAGUCUAGGCGUCUCAAGUCCACCUGAUUGUGGCUCAAGCCCAGAGAGGGUGUAAGGCCCGUAGAGACGCUCCGACUGAUUCCUGGGGUUUACCUACGAGUCGGCUUGUUUGGGAAUGCAGGCCAAAGCGGGUGGUAAACUCCAUCCAAGGCUAAAUACUGGCACGAGUCCGAUAGCGGACAAGUACCGUGAGGGAAAGUUGAAAAGAACUUUGAAGAGAGAGUUCAAUAGUACGUGAAACCGCUUAGAGGCAAACGGAUGGUGCUCAUACUGGCCUGAGGAAUUCAACUGUGACGGUGGCUGGACGAGCUGGCGUUCCGAUCUCUCUUUUGGGACGGGGCGUCGGUUUGGCUAUCAGCUCUGACAUGGUGCACUUUCCUUGGUGCCUCCGCCACGACCGACGACACUGGCUACCCGCGGCUGGGGUAAGGUGACAAACUGCUUCGGCAAUUUGUGUUAUAGACCCCGGCGUCGGACAUGGUUUGGCCAGGACGUCGAGCUUGCGGCGCCCGCUCCUUGUGGGCUCGCAUGUUGGCUAGCUUGGCUGCGCCGAUGCUUGCACUGGACAACCAGUACAGGUGACGGUUGUGGUCUUGUCUCUAGUUGGCCUCUGCGAGUUUGGCGCCUAUAGUCUGUGGUGUACUUGUGGGUAGACUAUCCGACCCGUCUUGAAACACGGACCAAGGAGUCUAACAUGUGCGCGAGUCAUGGGGAUUCUACGAAACCCAAAGGCGCAGUGAAAGUAAAGGCCUGCUUCUCGUAGGCUGAGGUGGGAUCUCGUGCAUCGCGAUUGGCGAGCGCACCACCGGCCCGUCCUAUCUGUCUCUGUCAGUGGGGCGGCGCAAGAGCGUACACGUUGGGACCCGAAAGAUGGUGAACUAUGCUUGCGCAGCUCGAAGUCAGUGGAAACACUGAUGGAGGAGCGCAGCGUUUCUGACGUGCAAAUCGAUCGUCAAACGUGAGUAUAGGGGCGAAAGACUAAUCGAACCAUCUAGUAGCUGGUUCCCUCCGAAGUUUCCCUCAGGAUAGCUGGCACUCGGGAAACAGUUUUUUAUCCGGUAAAGCGAAUGAUUAGAGGCAUUGGGGUCGAAACGACCUCGACCUAUUCUCAAACUUUAAAUGGGUAAGAUGCUCGUCUCGCUUAAUUGGAGGCGGGCUUCACCUCUCUAACGUGAAUGUGAGUGCCCAGUGGGCCAUUUUUAAAGCUGUGGGAUGAACCAAACGCGCGGUUAAGGCGCCCAAUGCGGACGCUCAUGAGACACCACAAAAGGUGUUGGUCGAUACUGACAGCAGGACGGUGGCCAUGGAAGUCGGAACCCGCUAAGGAGUGUGUAACAACUCACCUGCCGAAUCAACCAGCCCUGAAAAUGGAUGGCGCUGGAGCGUCGGGCCUAUACCGUGCCGUUGGGGCGAAGCAGACAAAUAAUCUGUGUGGAUGUCCCAACGAGUAGGAGGGUCGCCGUGGUGAGCGCAGAAGGUGCGGCCGUGAGGCCGGCUGGAGCCGCCACGGGCGCAGAUCUUGGUGGUAGUAGCAAUUACUCAAGUGAGAACCUUGAGGACUGAAGUGGAGAAGGGUUCCAUGUGAACAGCAGUUGAACAUGGGUCAGGCGGUCCUAAGCGAUCGGGUAACUCCGUACCUAGACGAGGGUGACAACUAUCACUUAACUAAAUUGUGACGUGUUAUAGCCCUCCGGAGCGAAAGGGAAUCGUGUUAAUAUUCACGACCCUUACCGUGGAGAUCGCCCCUUUCGGGGGGCAAGUGCGGUAACGCAAACGAACACAGAGACGUCGGCUGGAGCCCCGGGAAGAGUUCUCUUUUUUGUAAGGAGCGUACCCCCUGGAAUCGGCUUGUCCGGAGAUAGGGGCGUGGCUUCCGUAAAGCAGCGCGGGUCUUGCGCUGUCCGGUGCACUCUAGUCGGCCCUUGAAAAUCUGUGGGAGACAGUGUGAUUUUCACGGUAGGCCGUACCCAUAUCCGCAGCAGGUCUCCAAGGUGAACAGCCUCUAGUCCUAGAACAAUGUAGGUAAGGGAAGUCGGCAAAAAUGGAUCCGUAACUUCGGGAAAAGGAUUGGCUCUGAGGGCUGGGUCGGAUGGGCUGGCGUAAGAAGCUGUUCCGGUUUUGGUGAGGACUGGGCGAGGCUUUCGGGCUUUACUCGGACCAUGCCGAGACCAGGCAGUAGACGACGUCAGCUGUGCUUGUCGUGUUUCGGCGCGGCAGCUUCGUCCGGCAACAAACAGCCAACUCAGAACUGGCACGGACUAGGGGAAUCCGACUGUCUAAUUAAAACAAAGCAUUGCGAUGGCUGUUGCUCGGUGUUGACGCAAUGUGAUUUCUGCCCAGUGCUCUGAAUGUCAAAGUGAAGAAAUUCAAUCAAGCGCGGGGUAAACGGCGGGAGUAACUAUGACUCUCUUAAGUAGAGUCUUAGUCUUAGUGGGUUGAGUGUAGUGAGCUCGUUGAGGCGUGUUUCCUUAGCUAUCGUGAUGAGAAGAAAAGUAACGCCAAGAGGCCAGUUAGAAAGAAGGCAGUUAAGAGAGAGCUGAAGAAUAGAGAGAAGCGCAGAAGAGCGUAUGGAGAGAUGCAGAGAAUUUAUAGUAAGGAUAGGAAGAAAGCAGCGGCUGCUGUUUUUAGUGGCGCGUGGAGGUUGUGGAGUGAGCCUAGAGAGGAGAAUAAGCAGUUUGAAGAUCAGAAGAUGGAGUAUUGGAAGAGAGUUUUGGGCAGGGAGUCUGACCCGGAUGGUCGUCCGGUUAAGCCUCUGAGGGAGCCAGCUGUUGAGAUCGAGGAGCCGAUUAGUCUAGCAGAGUGCAAGAAAGCGCUGAGAGACCUUAAGCAGACAGCUUCGGGACCAGAUGGCGUUAGCUGGAGUAGUGUGAAGAGCUUGGGUCCAGGUUGGCUUCAGUACCUUUUUAAUUCCAUCUUGGCGUGCGGGUAUCCUACAAAAUCUUUUAAAAAUUCGCGCACAGUGCUGAUUCCUAAGACAGAAAAACCUAGUGACCCGGGAGAGUUUAGGCCCUUAGCGAUUGCUAGUGUCUUUGGCAGAGUCUUUCAUAGAAUCUUAGCUAGUAGGUUGGGAGUCUGGGCGCCGUUAGGAGCGAGUCAACGAGCCUUUCAGGUUGGGAUCGAUGGUGUCUCUAUGAACCAUCUCAUCUUAGAGGCGGCUCUGGCGGCAGCUAGAAGGGGAGAUAGUGAGCUUUAUUUAGCUUGGUUAGAUCUUAGAAAAGCGUUUGACUCGGUUAACCAUCAAUCUUUGCUUCGUGCAGCUCGGCGUGCAGGACUGCCUGAGUCCAUCUUGGGUUACUUGGGCAACCUGUACGACGGGGCGGUCACCGAGUUGAACGGGGUUGCUAUUAAGAUUAGUAGAGGGGUUAAGCAGGGGGAUCCUCUAUCACCUAUUCUAUUCUGCUAUGUGAUAGAUGAGUUAAUGGACAACCUAGAUAGCGGUAUUGGGUUCCCGUUGGCAGGGCAUAGAGUCAACGCGGCAGCCUUUGCCGACGACUUGGCUAUUCUGUCUAGGUCUAAAGCCGGUUUGCAGGCGCUCUUGGCAAGCUUGGCCGACUCACUUCUUCCCACUGGGCUUGAGGUGAACCCGGCUAAGUGCUCCACGCUUGCUAUUAUUUGGGACGGGAAGAAUAAGCGUUGGCUGCAUGAUGCCAAGGGGCAGUUUAAGUUUAGGGGGUCUACUCUGCCAGCACUUGGAGUUGAGGAGUCGUAUAAGUAUUUAGGACUUCAGUAUGGUUCAAAGGGCAAGUUGAAGACGGGGCUGGAGUUGCUUAAGGGUAUGCUCAGAGAGUUAAAGGAGGCGCCGUUGAAACCGCAGCAGAGAGUGUUCCUGCUCAGAACAAAUAUUCUACCUAAGAUUAUGUAUUACUUAGUUAAUGGACGCGUGCACCAGUACACUCUUCGCGAGUGUGACAAGUGUGUUCGACGUUUUCUCAGGGAGGUUCUCCAUCUGCCGCACGACACUCCGGUGUCUGCCUUUCAUGCGUGUGCGAAGGAUGGAGGCCUCGACAUCGACUGUUUUGAGUCGCUUGUCCCAAUGUAUAAAUGGCAGAAGCUGGUGAGCCUCGAAGAGGUUCCGGACAAUUUGGUCCGUGACUUGUCUCAGCUACCUGCCAUUCGCAAGGGUUAAAGGUGCGCAGACCAGUUUUAAUAACAGAGCGGAGUAUCGGAUGUUCUGGAAGAACAAGUUGCUGGACAAUCUAGAUGGAUUUGGUUUAGGUGAAGCAGCGGACGUUCCUCAAGUCCACUCUUGGGUGACUGAUGGCUCGUCCCUGCUCACAGGCGAAAUGUAUAUUAAGUGCCUUAAAAUUAGGUGGAAUGUUUGGCCGACUGCAGCUCGUGCGUCCAGAGGUAGGAGGCAGGCCCCUCUCUGUGAUGCGGGCUGCAGGCAAAUUGAAGGUUUGGGGCACAUUCUGCAGCAGUGUAAUAGGACUUGGGAUAAGAGAGGGGCUAGGCAUGAUAGAAUUGUUGAGUUUGUUGGUAGUCAGGUGGAACGGCGAGGGUUCAAUGUUAUUAAGGAGAAGUCUUUUGCGACUCCUAGGGGGCAUAGACGACCUGAUCUAAUUAUAUAUAAUAAGGAUAGAGUGUGGAUUGCUGACGUCACGAUCUGUGCGGACAGAGGAGCGGGGCCUAUGGCCCUCGCGAGGGACAACAAGAUCAAGUAUUAUACGGACGAGGAUCUAGCGACUGAGGUCGCGAAGGUGGCGGGCCCUGGUGCCCAGAGCGUUGUUGGCCUGGUUUGGAACUGGAGAGGGUGUUGCGAGAAGAAGACGGAUGAGUGGCUCAAGAAGAUGGGUGUGCCGAUCGAGUCUAGAAGGCUGGCUUCGGUCAGAG